rnacentral:rRNA from 1 species
UACGGAGGGAGCUAGCGUUGUUCGGAAUUACUGGGCGUAAAGCGCACGUAGGCGGCUUUGUAAGUCAGAGGUGAAAGCCUGGAGCUCAACUCCAGAACUGCCUUUGAGACUGUAUCGCUUGAAUCCGGGAGAGGUGAGUGGAAUUCCGAGUGUAGAGGUGAAAUUCGUAGAUAUUCGGAAGAAACACCAGUGGCGAAGGCGGCUCACUGGACCGGUAUUGACGCUGAGGUGCGAAAGCGUGGGGAGCAAACAGG